ACAACUGAAUCCUGAUGGCCAGAGACAGCAGGGGCAAAUGGCUUAAUCAUCCUGCCGAGGUCAAGUGUUGAUGUUGGGUUAGAACUCGCCAAAUGGUGGAGUAUCUAACUCUAUCUGGACUUGCCCUGGCGAUCGCCGGGGCUUUUUCUUUUUAUUU
rfam:Leptolyngbya sp. O-77 DNA, complete genome.